rnacentral:rRNA from 1 species
UACGAAGGGGGCUAGCGUUGCUCGGAAUCACUGGGCGUAAGGGUGCGUAGGCGGGUCUUUAAGUCAGGGGUGAAAUCCUGGAGCUCAACUCCAGAACUGCCUUUGAUACUGAAGAUCUUGAGUUCGGGAGAGGUGAGUGAACUGCGAGUGUAGAGGUGAAAUUCGUAGAUAUUCGCAAGAACACCAGUGGCGAAGGCGGCCGCUGGGCCAGUGCUGACGCUGAGGC